AGGGCACGUCGCCCGCGAGGGGGGUGGCGGGCCCAGGAGGAGGGGACCCCGACAGCCCCUCACCGCCUGCCGGGGCGGGCCGCCACGCUGGACGGGGGCAGCGCGGGGCGGGGUCGGGGGGCGGCAGAAGGCGCCUUUGUGCGUCGCGUCCCCGAGCGUGUCGCGGCGGGCCCGGCACCGGCCCCGCUCCAGCGCCCGCCCCCGGCCCGCGCCCCGGGCCCCGCGCGCAUACCUGGCGAGGCCACGAGGGGAUUCUGCGGGCCGAGCCCCGCCUGGGCUGCGCCGCCGCAGGCGGGAGAGGCUGAGGAUUCUUUUGGGAAGCCCCUCCGCCGGCUGUAACCCCAGGGCCGUGCCACCCUCCUGAUCACCGCAAGCAUGGACCCCCCAGCACGCUGCGGGUGGGACAGGCAGGGCCCCUGUGGGGUGGCUUGACUGGCCUGGAGUUGGGGACGAAGUCCCCGGGCUUGGUCCCCCGAGGGCUUGGUUGGGCGUCCCGGGGUAGGUGGCUGCCGCGGCGAUGUGGGCGGCUUGCGUGUGGCCGAUCGGGGUCGCUGCUGAGCCCCGGAGAGCGGAGGGUCCAGGCUAGGCUGGGGGAGCGAGAGGCGAGGGCGGAGCCGCGGAGGUGUGGGCGGCUUUCGUGGUCCGAGAGGCCCCAGGUUCCCGGCAGGGCGGGGAAGGCUGGGGCGGGGCCAGAGCCGGAGCCGCGAAGCCGCGAUGGAGAGGGCCUGGAGGGUGCGCCAGGAGCCGGCGUCAGGGCCUGCCUCCAUCUCCUCCAACCCCCACCCCAUUUAUUCCUGUAACAAAUCCCUACCGGGAGCUGGCACAGCAGCUGUGCGCUGGGGACACACGAGAUGCUCACCCUCCCUGCCCUCCAGGAGCUUGGACUCAGCUGAGCUGUUGUCCACACCAAGGGUGGCCUACAGAGGGAAGUGAGGACCUUGGGACUUCCUCCAGGACAGCCCUCGCUGUCCAAAUCUCCACCUGCUGCAGAGCUGCCUCCAGUCAAGCCCUUGUUUCCAGCUUUCUGUGCCCUAAAUAAACUUCUGCUGGGAUUGAGCCAUCAGCAUUCUGUGGUGGGCGUCGCUGCUGCGAGGUUGCCCUCGUGCACACAAGCUCCUCACAGGACUUCCAGGAUGAUAUGGAAGAGUGACUGAGAGCAGCCGCCCGGUGCUUCCCAACCUUAGAGGGAGGUCACGGGCAGUCUCCCUGCGAUGCUGGCCACAGGGUCUCGCUGUGUCGCCCAGGCUGGAGGGCAGUGGUGUGAUCUGGACUCACUGCAGCCUCGACCUGUUGGGCUCAAGUGAUCCUCUCACGUCAGCCUCCAAGUAGCCAAGACCACAGGCAGGCGUCACCAUGCCCAGCCCCCAUGAUGACUUUACUUUUCUUCUUGAACCUGGUGAAUUUCUGUGUUAACAUGUCUGAUUUGAACCCUUCUGAUAUUCCUGAGAUAAACUUUAUGUGACCUUGGUAUUCUGUUGGAUUUUGGUUAGCUGAUACUUCAAGAUUUUUAUAAAACUGGGUUGCAAUUUAUUUGUGUUCCCGUUUCUAGCUGUCUAUGAGCUUCAUCAAAUGGGCAGGACCACUUUCCCUUAACUUCUCCUUUUCUGGAACAACGGACAUAUCCUGUGGAUUAUCUGUUCCCCACAGGUUUGGGAUAUGGGUGCUGUGAAUGCCACUGUGCUGGGGGCUUUGGGAAGUGUGUGUUUGUUUUCGUGCGUGUGCGGUGGGAUACAGGUGUGGUUACUACUUUGAUUUCUUUCUUUCUUUUUUUUUUUUUUUUUUUUGAGAUGGAGUCUCACUCUGUUGCCCAGGCUGAAGUGCAAUGGCGCGAUCAUGACUCACUGCAACCUCCGCCUCCUGGGUUCAAGCGACUCUCCUGCCUCAGCCUCCAGAGUUGCUGGGAUUACAGGCACCCACAACCAUACCCUAAAUUUUGUACUUUUAGUAAAGAUGGGGUUUCACCAUUUGGCCAGGCUUGUCUUGAACUCCCAAUUACCAAUUUCUUAUGUGUCCUUUUGAAGACUUUCUAAGUACGACCAACCUAGUAAAAGUCCUGGAAGUUAAAUGCUCUAUUUCCCAGCCUCCCUUGCAGCUAGGAGCAGUCAUGUGACUCCAUUCUGGCCAACGAGAUACAAGAAACACUUGCUGACAGGUGCAAUCAGAAAGCGUUUGCUUUUCCAGUAACAUGUAGGACCAGUCACCUUUUUGCAUUUCCCCUUUCUUCUUGAUUCGAACAUUGCAUUGCCGUCAUGUUUGGAGAUGAGUCAGCCAUCUUGCAAAUAGGAGGCAGCAAGACUGAGGGAAAUGCCAUCCUGCUUCAGAGGGCAGAAUGGAAAGAGAAGCCUAAGAUGGCAAUGGUACGGUUGGGCAGCUGAGUCAGGACUGGGGCCACUGCCUCUCGGUUUCAAGGGAGAAAAAUAAACCCCUGUUUGUUGGCCUCAUGCUAGGUUGGAUUUUCUUUUACUUAAAGCCAAGACAUUUCUAACAUACAAAACCAGACACAUGUGCAUGCCACACGUACAUCACAAGUGAUCACAUGCUGUCCGACUAGCACCUCGAUUUUUCCACUGAACCAUCAGUCUUGCAGAUCAUCCUUUAUCAGUGCCUGGCAACUUGUCUUGCCCUUGUUUUCUUGGGUUUUUGUUUUUGUUUUUGUUUAAGACAAGGUCUCAUCUGUUGCCCAGGCUGGAGUGCAUUGGCACAAUCAUAGCUCACUACAGCCUGGACCUUCUGGGCUCAGCAGUCCUCCGUCCUCAGCCUCCCGAGUAGCUGGUACUAAAGGCAUGUGCCACCAUGCCCGG
rnacentral:lncRNA from 1 species